AGAGGUCCUCCGUGGCCGGGGUGGAAUGCUUGCCUUGUCACCGCGGCAAUGAAGCAAGCAUUCCGCCAGGCCGCUCACACUGCCAAC